GAUGAACGCUGGCGGCGUGCUUAAUACAUGCAAGUCGAGCGAACAGACGAGGCGCUUGCUCCUCUGACGUUAGCGGCGGACGGGUGAGUAACAUGUGGAUCCCCCACCUAUAUGACUGGGAUAAUUUCGGGAAACCGGCGCUAAUACCGUAUAAUAUCUUGAACCGCAGUGUUCAAUAGUGAAUGACGGCUUUGCUGUCACUUCUAGAUGCUUCCGGGCCGCAUUAGCUAGUUGGUAGGGUAAUGGCUUACCACGGCAACGAGGCGUAGCCGACGGACGAGGGGGAUCGGCGACCUGGGAACGGGAACAGGGACAAGGCUACUACGGGAGGCAGCAGUAGGGAAUCGGACGCAAUGGGCGAAAGCCUGGCGGAGCAACGCCGCGUGAGAGAUAAAGAUGUUCGGAGCGGAAUACUCUGUUAUUGGGGGAGAACAAAUGUGUAAGUAAAUAAGCACGUCUUGACGGUACCUGGUCAGAAAGCCACGGCUAACUACGUG
rnacentral:rRNA from 1 species